AACGAACGCUGGCGGCAUGCCUAACACAUGCAAGUCGAACGAGACCUUCGGGUCUAGUGGCGCACGGGUGCGUAACGCGUGGGAACCUGCCUUUAGGUUCGGAAUAACGCCUCGAAAGGGGUGCUAAUACCGAAUAAUGUCUUCGGACCAAAGAUUUAUCGCCUUUAGAUGGGCCCGCGUUGGAUUAGCUAGUUGGUGAG
rnacentral:rRNA from 1 species